rnacentral:lncRNA from 1 species
CAUCCUACCCCAACUAUACAACUGAAGAUAAACACCUAUUUAAAAACGAUCUCUGCUAGCCAGCAGCAGCAGGUUCAUGUCAACAGAUGGAUCUUUGCAUCCUCACUGGUCAUGAGCUUGUGGCAAUUGGCGAAUAGCACGAUCACAGCAGCAGCAGGUUCAUGUCAACAGAUGGAUCUUUGCAUCCUUACUGGUCAUGAGCUUGUGGCAACUGGCAAAUAGCACGAUCUGAAAAGAUAGAACGGACAAAAGUUAUGAACAUGCCACAGCUCAACAUGCUCACCUAUGAGGAACAAUCAUGACAUACGCAAGAUUGGGUUUGGAAGGUCUUCUUCACAUUGGACUACAAAUACAAGCUCCUAGUUAUACGUAUCUAGCUAAUAAAUACUCUCUUGAUCUUCCUUAUUAUCAUCUAUCUAGCAAAUUUCCAGAAUAGUCCUUGACAAGUUGAACUUGAACCAAACCAAAAGUAGGUAAGAGCAACUUGGAAAUACCAGCAUCAGGGGAGGACCCAGGACAAAAAUUACCCGGAUUCCGCAUAUACAUCAAAUAGGCAUGGAUAUUAAGAGAUACACUCUUUCCUUUUCACAAAAGUUGGUGUAUUUGGUUUCGUUAAGGCAAGACUUUGACUGAGAAUUAUUUUCUUAAUACAUAAAAUUUAUAUAAAUAGAUUUGUCUUCAAAAGUUCUUGCUGAUGAUUGUGGUUUCCUAUCAUAUAAACUACAUAUUAAUAAAGUUAUUGUUGAUCAAAGUCUUGUCUUAACGAAAUCAAAUAUGCCAACCUUUGUGAAAAUAAGGGAGUAGUAUAAUAGUAUAGCACUUAACAAUUAAAAUUAUUAGGCUGAGAUGAAGCAAUGGAAAUCCUUGCCAAAGUACGUGAAGGAGUUUCACUUAAAAUAUAAUUUGACAAUAAAAAUUGAGCAAUAAAGCAUCAGACAAAUGAAGACGUGUGUGAACUAUCUAUUGUAUGACUAAAACAGAAGGACAUGAAGUCACCAUAUUUGUCCGCAUAUAUAUAACCGUGUCCUUAGGAAGGGAAACCAAUGAAAAGCUUAAUUAAUAUAGAUAGGAUAAAAUUAUACUUCUUUGAAACUGCGACAAAAAUCUAUAAUAAGUCUAACCACACAAACACAUGGAUCACUUGGCUAGAUCCCAAAAAAUGACACGGCAGUACGUGAACUGAAGAUUGAUCGAUCAAUGAAACAACCGACUGCCUGCCUGCCUGCAGAAAACCUGAGUUUUACCACUCGCGAACUGGACGUUUGUUGGCUGAGGGUGUCCAUCCAACAAAUUUAGGGGUGUCCAGCAUCCAUGGGGUUUAUGUACUUAGGCAUAACGAAGUUUUCUACCCGGUGUCCAGUGCACCAGGCUGGCCCUACGUGGGUCAGCCCCUGCCAGUAUCCACAUUUUUAUCUUGCUAACAAAAACAGUAUUUACGGUGUCUGACUGAACAUUCAAGGUAACAACUAAAGACAACAACUGAUCUGACCAAGAUGCUUCUAC